UACGGAGGGUGCAAGCGUUAUCCGGAUUUACUGGGUUUAAAGGGUGCGUAGGCGGCCCUGUAAGUCAGUGCUGAAAUAUCCCAGCUUAACUGGGAGGGUGGCAUUGAUACUGCGGGGCUAGAGUACAGAUGAGGUAGGCGGAAUUGACGGUGUAGCGGUGAAAUGCUUAGAUAUCGUCAAGAACACCUAUAGCGAAGGCAGCUUACCAGGCUGUAACUGACGCUGAGGCACGAAAGCCAGGGGAGCAAACGGG
rnacentral:rRNA from 1 species